UUCCUUUGGUGUGCAAAAAAUUUUAAUUUGGUCCCAUUUGUUUACUUUUGUUUUUAUUUUCAUUACUCUAGGAGGUAGAUCUAAGAAUAUGUUGCUGUAGUUUAUGUCUGAGAGUAUUCUGCCUAUGUUUUCCUCUAAAAGUUUUGUAGUAUCUGGUCUUAUAUUUAGGUCUUUAACCCAUUUGAGUUUAUUUUUGUGUAUGGUAUUAGAGAGUGUUCUAAUUUCAUUUUUUUUACAUGUAGCAGUCCAGUGUUCCUGCUACCACUUAUUGAAGGACUGUCUUUUCUGCAGUGUAUAUUCUUCCUUCCUUUGUCAUAGAUUAGUUGACCAUAGGUGUUUAGGGUUAUUUCUGUGCUUUCUGUCCUGUUCCUUUGAUCUGCCUUUCUGUUUUUUGUGCCAGUACCAUACCGUUUUGAUGAUUAAAGCUUUGUACUAUAGUCUUAAGUCAGGGAGCCUGAUUCCUUCAGCUCCAUUUUUCUUUCUCAGGAUUGCUUUGGCUAUUGGGGGUCUGUUGUGUUUCCAUACAAAUUUUGAAAUUUGUUGUUCUAGUUCUCUGAAAAAUGCCAUUGGUAAUUUGAUAGGGAUUGCUUUGAAUCUGUAGAGUGCCUUGAGUAGUAUAGCCAUUUUGACAAUUUUGGUUCUUCUAAUCUAAGAGCAUAGUAUAUCUUUCCAUCUGUUUAUAUAAUAUUUGAUUUUUUAAAUCUGUGUCUUAUAGUUUUCAGGUUUGAGGUCUUUUGUCUCUUUGGGUAAGUUUAUUGCUAGGUAUUUUAUUCUUUUUGAUGUGAUGGUAAAUGGGAUUGUUUCCCCAUUUCUCUUUCUGAUUUUUCAUUGUUAGUAUAUAGAAAUGCAGUUAAUUUCUGUGUAUUAGUUUUGUAUCCUGAAAUUUUACCAAAUUAAUUCAUGAACUCUAACAGUUUUCUGGUAGCAUCUUUUGGAUUUUCUAAUGUGUAGUAGCAUGUCAUCUGCAGUGACAGUUUUACUUCUUCCUUUCUGAUUUGGAUUCAUUUUAUUUCUUUUUCUUCUCUUAUUGCCAUGGCCAGGACUUAAAAACUAUGCUGCCUAAAAAAAGUGGCAAGAGCCUCUCAGAUAAAGUUAUUUUCCAGGCUUUGGGUCACCUACCAGGCAUGUAUGUGAUUACUUAUAUUGCAGAAGCUCCCCUCCUAAUGCUUCAAUGUGCCUUCUUCUUUGUCUUUGGGUAUAAGAUGGUUUUUUGUUUUUUGUUUGUUUGUUGUUUGUUUUUUGUUUUUUGUUUUUUUUUUUUGGUAACUUCUAGACUAUUUUGACAAUGACUGUUUAACAGUUAGUUGUAAUUUUGGUAUUUUUCUGAGAGGAGGGGAGCUUGAGUCCUUCUGCUCUUCUGUCUUGUCUCUCUAUUCCUCCUUAAAAGCCUUUUAUAUAUUGAGACUAGCUUUUUCUCUGUGAUACAGUUGGCCAAUAUUUUCUUCAAAUUUGUCUUCUGUUUGAUGUUGCUUAAAGUCAUUUUGAUAGGCAAAAGUUAAACUUUAAAAAAAUUUAUGUAGUAAAAUUUAUCUAUCAUUUCUUUUAUGCUUCUGGAUUUUAUAUCACAGUGAGAAAGUCUUUCCAUACUCCCAAAUUAUAAAGGAAACAUUUUUUUUCUUGUUUCUGUUUUCUAAUUUUACAUUUAGCUUUCUUAUCUAUAUGGAGUUUAUAAUAAGAUGUAUAGAUAAAAUUCACUUAGCAUCUGUUAUGUGUCAAAAUGAAGCAGUUUCUACAGGGAUAUCUUUGAGUCUUAUGAGACUUUGUAGGUCCUAAAAUAUCAUCCAGGACAAUGCAUUAUUCAUAAAUUAUUCUCUUCAAAACAGUAUUUUGUACUAGUAAUGAACACUAUUCUAGAUUCAGGAGACUCUGGUAACUAAAUUUGAUUUGCUAGUAAAUUACAUAUGACCUUGAGUUAAGUCAUUUGACCUUGUAUUCACUAGUAUUAAAUAUUAGGUACCUUAAACUUUAAAGAUUAUUUUUUUUAGUUUAUAUUUAUUACUUAUUGGUCAAAAUUAAAGUACUCCUUUAGGAUAAAGGUAAUGUUCUUAUAAUUUAUUAUGAUAGUAAUAAAUAACUCAGUUGGCAAGAAAUAGAUUGAAUGUAUGUAUGUUAAACAAAAGGCAUACAUUUUUGCACUGAACUUUUAAAAGCUCAUCAUCAGAAAGUUUAAAAUGGGUAUGAAAUUUAUAAAGUUUAUUGCUAUCUCUGUUUAUAAGAAUAUCAAAAGUUAGUUAAAAACCUGAAAGAAAAAAAAGGAGUCAAUAAAGAUUAUUCAUAGUAUAAAAAAAUAGUUACCAUAGUAGACAUUUAGCAAAAAUAAAAGAACAUAAUUUUGAGUGGGACUUUGUCAGCAAAGCACAAAACUUGAAAGAAAAGAUUGAAAGAUAAUACUGUGUAAUUCUAAAGAAAAUUAUGGCAAAGCAUAAUCAAAAUUAGAAGGCAGAUAGCAAACUAUGAAAAAUAUUUCAAAUACAUAUUAGAUCAAAAGAGGAUAUUUAUUGUAUACAGAAAUCUAUUUAAAAUCCUAAGAGAAACUCUACCAAACCAACAGAAAAAUAGCAAGUAUGUGAAGAGGGGGGUCUUCAGAGAAACAUGCAAAUGGAUUUAAAAACUAUUAAAAUAUGCCUAACCUCACUUAUAGUUAAAGAGAAGCAAAGGUAUAUUAUUGAGCCCUUAAUACAUGCCAGGGAUUGUGAAUAUAAUGGUGAGAAAAAAGAAAAUUGUCUUUUUCCUGAUCUCUCCUCCAAUACGGAGUGGAGGACCAGCAGUAAUCAUUAACAGAAUGGAUCAGAGAAAGCCUCCCUUCUUAGUAAAUGACCUUUGAGUAGAGGCUAAAGGAUGUGAAAGUUAACUAAGAAAUCUGGGUAAGAAGGGGCAAAACAUUUACAAUAAAGGAAAUAGUAUGCCUCAAAGGUCCUGAGGCAGGAGGAAAAAGCAAAACUUGGUCAAUGAGGUAAAAGAAUAUCAGGGUUUCUGGAGGAGAGAAAGCAAAGAAGUGGGGAAUUCUUUUGUGGUGCAGUGGAUUAAAGAUCAAACAUUGUCACUGCAGUGGCUCAGGUCACUGCUGUGGCACAGGUUUGAUCCCUGGCCUGGGAACUUCCACAUACCAUGGGAAUAGACACACAAAAAAAGUGGGAGUAUGAGAUGAGAAAGACGUGGAAGGGGCCAUAUUACCAUGUAACACUGAAGGGUUUCCUAGGGAUUGGAGAAUUACCCUAAAGAGCAAUGAAAUGUGUUGGAAAAAUGUUAAGCAGGGGAAUAAGAUAUUCUAGUUGGACUUUUUAAAAAAAAUUACUGACCAACUCACACCUAUUAUGAUGGCUAUUAUUUUUAAAAAGUGUUGACAGGCAAUAAAUGUUGACAAGGAUGUGGAGAAAUUGGAACUCUUGUGCACUGUUGAUGGAAUGUAGAAUGGUAUAGCCUAUAGGAAGCAAUAUGGGUAGUUCCUUAAGAAAUUAAAAAUAACCUUACCCUGUAAUUCAGCAGUUCCACCUAUGAGUAUAUACUCAAAAGAAUUGAGAGUAGAAUUUCAAAGAUAUAUAUAUAUAUACCCAUAUUCAUAGUAGCAUUAUUCGCAACAGCUGGAAGGUAGAAGCACCCCAAAUGCCCAUCAACAGAGAAACAGACAAAUGUGGUAUAUAUGUACAGUGGAAUAUUACUUAGCCUUAAAAAAGAUUUUUUGGCACAUGCUACAACAGGGUUGAAACUUGAAGACCUUAUGCUAAGUAAGUCCAUCACAAAAGGACAAAUACUGUAUGAUUCUACUUAUAUGAGAGUAGUCAAAUUCAUAGAGAAGGAGGUAGAAUGGUCAUUGCCAGGGGCUGGAGUGAGAGGGGAAUAGGGAGUUGUUUCAUAGGUGCAGAGUUUCAGUUCUGGAAGAUGAGAAGAUUUCUGUUAUUCAUUGUAUAACAGUGUGAAGUGCUUCAUAGUACUGAACCCUACUCUUAAAAAUGGUUAAGAUGGGGAGUUCCCAUUGUGGCUCCGUGGGUAACUAAUCUGACUAGCAUCCACCUUAAAAGUGGAAGAGGAAGGCACAAUAUCUGACCAGAGAGAUUAGCAAGGUUAGAACGUUCUAGAGCAUGUGAAUGUUAAAUAAAAAGAAAAACUAUAGAUAUGGAUCAUCUCUUGACUUAGACCUGUCCUAGUCAGUGCACCGUCACCUUCUGGGCUGGAAGAAUGCUCUGUUGAAAAAGAGUAAGCGUCCAAAAGAGCUUUUGGAAAAACACUUACAUGCUUGCUUUUGUAACCUUUUAAAGGUUUCUAAAGCUAUUGCUUUAAAAAUUCCUAAUAUGUCAACAGAGAAUAAUCUUGAGGGUGAAGCUGAGGCAGAUUAGCCCAAGUUCUAUCAGAAUGUGUAUUUAUCUGACCCAGAGUUGCUAAGAGAAGAUUUGAAUAGAAAGUACCAGUUCAGGAGUUCCUGUCGUGGCUCAGUGAUUAACAAACUCAACUAGCACCCAUGAGGACUCGAGUUCAAUCCCUGGCCUCACUCAGUAAGUUAAGGAGCUGUGGUGUAGGUCACAGACGCAGCUCGAAUCCCGUGCUGCUGUGGCUGUGGUGUAGACCAGUAGCUAUAGCUCUGAUUGGAUCCCUAGCCUGAGAACCUCCAUGUGCCCCACAAGUGUGGCCCUAAAAAGACAAAAAAAAAAAAAGUAAAGUACCAGUUCACACAUACAUGACUGAGUCAUGUGAGCAAUUAGAUUAAGUGGAGGUUUAAAGAUGAUUUCUUCCAAAAAAAUCAAAGUAUAGAUGAGGAGUCAACUUGGGAGAAAAAACAAUUGUCUAUUUAGAAAAGAGUAAUCAUUCAGUUUGAUGCAGUUCCCCAUUUCCUUCCACAGCCACAUAAAUGUUCUUUUUAUUGCUUCAUUUGUAGUAGAGAG
rnacentral:lncRNA from 1 species